GAGUUUUCUCAAGCGGUAACACUCAAAAGAUGGCGGCACUUUCACCAGAGAGCAGAAAGUGCCCCCACAGUUUGAGUGCCACAGGCUGAGGGGAUGCGGCAAGGCGGCGA